rnacentral:rRNA from 1 species
CUUCACUCUGGCGGCGUGCCUAAUACCUGCAAGUCGAGCGCACGGACGAGAAGCUUGCUUCUCUGAUGUUAGCGGCGGACGGGUGAGUAACACGUGGAUAACCUACCUAUAAGACUGGGAUAACUUCGGGAAACCGGAGCUAAUACCGGAUAAUAUUUUGAACCGCAUGGUUCAAAAGUGAAAGACGGUCUUGCUGUCACUUAUAGAUGGAUCCGCGCUGCAUUAGCUAGUUGGUAAGGUAACGGCUUACCAAGGCAACGAUGCAUAGCCGACCUGAGAGGGUGAUCGGCCACACUGGAACUGAGACACGGUCCAGACUCCUACGGGAGGCAGCAGUAGGGAAUCUUCCGCAAUGGGCGAAAGCCUGACGGAGCAACGCCGCGUGAGUGAUGAAGGUCUUCGGAUCGUAAAACUCUGUUAUUAGGGAAGAACAUAUGUGUAAGUAACUGUGCACAUCUUGACGGUACCUAAUCAGAAAGCCACGGCUAACUACGUG